UACGAGGGGGGCAAAUGUUGUUCGGAAUCACUGGGCGUAAAGGGAGCGUAGGCGGGUUUCUAAGUCAGGUGUUUAAUCCCGGGGCCCAACCCCGGACAGGCACUUGAAACUGGGAAUCUUGAAUAGUGGAGAGGUCAGUGGAAUUGGGGGUGUAGCGGUGGAAUGCGUAGAGAUCCCCAAGAACACCAGUUGCGAAGGCGGCUGACUGGACACAUAUUGACGCUGAGGCACGAAGGCCAGGGGAGCAAACGGG
rnacentral:rRNA from 1 species